rnacentral:lncRNA from 1 species
CCGUCCUGGUGAUGUCAGGCUCCACGAAGUAGCGGGGACCAGGACCGCAGCCGCCGGUCAUGGGUGGCUUGGUCCCUCUGCAAGUGUAAGCAGGGGCUCGGUUUUUGAUGGGACUGUGGCCCACGAAACCUAGGAAGCAAAGCACACAAAGGGCACCUCCAGGAGGCUGCACGCUUCAAGCUCCGCUGGAAGAGGCGCAGUUGGAGUCACCAUCCUCCCAAAUUCCCCUCCCGUGGGCCUUUUUCCUCCAAGACUACUACAACCACAAGCCAGUUACGCAGUGCUUGGGGUGCAGAAGAGUCAGCCAAGAAGCACAAAUGGCUUUGUAGCUGCAUUGCAAAGGCAGCAGAUAGAGACAGCCGAUGUGUGGCCAGCACGCUUCCUGCACCCAGCGGUUCAAAAACACUGCUUGGAGCACCAGUGUUGGCACUCCAUAACGAGCAUCCCUGGGAUUCAGCUGCUAUCCAAGAGUGUAACCCCACAGACACUUGGAGAGCCGAGUGCAAGCCAACAGGAAGGUGGCUUCUGUGAGGCUUUGACUUCCCUGGAGUGCCGAUGGGAACAGCGCCAGGAAAUGCUGCCCAGGCCGUUGCUUUUGCUGGUAUGAAAGCAGCGCUCUCCUGGGUGAGGGGAAGUAUCAGCCUUCCUCUGCCAGGCCUGGGGGGCACGGAGGCUUCGCCAAAAAAAGACUUUUGGGCUGUUGUGAGCAGCGAUGUCCUAGAUGUGCCGCCUGCCCUGGGUUUGUUUGCGGUACCUGUUGCCCCUGGGAUGGAGUACUUGGGCCCAGGGGUGGUGAACUGGGCCAUGAUCGGGCCGCGGGGGCGGUGAGGUCUCCACGUCCCCACAAAGGCUCCGUCCAUGCUGGUGCCAGUGCUCCGCUUGGUGCACAGGACUUCUCCCCCGUCCCUCUGUGCCUCGGUACUGAGCCUUCAGAGGAAACAAAGCUAUCGCUGCUUCUUUCACCAGCAGACCGACAGCUGAAUCUCCAGUCCCAAAACCCAGGUCUGAAACCCGCCUCUCCCUGCGGGAGGAGCUCCACUUCACCUUUCUUAGCCUUGGAAGGAAAAUUCGGUGAGGAUGAGCGCUGCUGCUGUGGCUGCUCACAGUCACAGGGCACAGAGAGCUGCUGCGGACAGGCAGAGCUCAGGACAGACUCUGACUCUGGGGGAGGGUGUCAGCUGCCAGCUUUUAUAGGGGACGGCAUCGCCAUGGAAACGCAUUAUGACAGCAUAGAGGCUUCAGAACCAUGGUGACCCCAUCUGGGCUGUUACCUCCAAGGCUUGGGCUGGACCCCAUCUGGUAAAGUGUCUCUGGCCUCAGCCCAGGGAGAUGCCAGCCCUGUGCCCCCCAGGCUGGGGCGUGGAGCUGGGCUGUCCUUGGGGACAAGUCUCCAACUAGGGACUUAAACUAAUCCUUUUAGGACUAGUUUAAAGGUGGGAGUAAAUGGUCUUUUCCUACCCUGGAUGAUUUUACGAUCCUGUGUGAUGUAAACUUUUGUUCUGAGAGAAUACUGGAGAGACAAGGCCUCCUCUGAAACAGCACAGGAAGAUCUUGCAGAGCAAUGAAUGAUUACAGCUUUGGAGCUAGGGCAGCACUGCUCACAUCCCUGUGUCUCAGUUCACUGAAGACACACCAUUUCUCCGGAAAACAGGGAAAUUGGGCUCUGAGGCAGCAGGUUCUCGAGUUUCAGGAGAACAACAGAGUGAGUUCAUCUCAUGUUUUUGCCAUGAUAGUGUAUGCACAAGAAUAAAAAAAGAUGGGUGAAAAAAAUCUAAAAUUUG